rnacentral:misc_RNA from 1 species
AAUUCUCAAAACCCUCUUCUUUGUCUUUGACCGGAAGAGGAGUUUUGGACUUGGAGGUUUGAUGCUCGCUUUCGCCUUUGAAAGCGAGCUCCUCUCAAAUGAAUUAGUGGGGUCCGCUUUGUCGAUCCUCGACGUGAUAAGAUGUUUCUACGUUUUGGAUUCGGCACUGUCUUUCGGAAGUCCGCUCCUAAUCGUCCCAUGGACAAACGAUGGUGCUUCGGUCCGCCGCCGAAUCUACGUCGGCGGGGGGCUUGGCCCACGACAAAAA